GUAACUGCAAUGAGGUCUCCCCUCAGUCUCCUCCAGGCUGAACAGACCAAGUGACGUCAGCCGCUCUUCACAUGGCUUCCUCUCAAGGCCCUUCACCAUCUCCAUUGCCCUCCUUUGGACUCUAAUAAUAUCUUUCUUACAUUGCAGUGACCAAAACUGCACACAACUCCUGGACAGUGCUUCCCCUGUCAGAUUGCCCAUCACACAAGUCUUACUCCCAAGAUACGAUGCUUUGCUGUUGCCGUGCUCAAAAAGGUACUUCUGACCUUCUCUCUAGCUCCAGGGGCCUCAGCUGUGGGCAGGCAGUUCAUUUACCCUCCUCUCCUGGAUCCCACCUGACUCAGUCCCAGAUUCAGCCUCACACUGGCUCAGGGUGGAGGUGGCCCUGCAGCUGUGAGCUGCCCCGCUGGGGAGGCCAGGCCCUGGGGUAGAGCAAGGCUGCCGUUGCCCUCUCCUUGCAGUUUGAGGACAUGCCCAUCGAACGCAGGUGGAGGAGGGAGCAGAGGGCUGUUGUCCCCUGCCAGACCAGCUGCCUGCUGGUGACUGAAGGCACGGCUCCAUCUGGUGGCCUGAAAGGAAUUUGUCUGCAUGUCUGUCGGAGAGCAGCCCUGACUUUCUCAGACAGAUGCAAACUAGUAGUCUCCAACUACUUUUUUCUCCCUUUUUUGUUUUUUCCUCUUCUAAGGCCUUAGGCCCCUCUGUGGCUUUGCCUACCUGCCUGAUGUUCUUGUUUCUCCCCAGCUGCUGCGAUUACUUCUUACAGAGAGGCUUAAGCUGACAAAUGUGUCCAACUCUGGGUCAUUCCUGGAGCAUGGUACAAUUUCUCAGACUGGGAAGAAGCGUUACAGAGCUGCAGAGGGCAUUGCCGAAGGACAGAUUCUCUGCUAUGGCCUGAGAUGUGACAGCUCUGCUCCCAUUAGACAUGUCCUGGAUCAGAUCAGAGAUCUGUCUAGCCUGAUAUCUUCUUCCUGGCAGGACAUGCCUGAGGAAGGAUGGACAAAGUCAGCUGGCAGAAUCUAGUGUGCAGGCAGGAAUGUCUUGAGUUUGGCACUGUGCCUCUAUUUUUAAUAACCUUCUGUGGAUUUCAUCCUUUCUGAUUUUGACUCAUCACCAUCUGAGCCCAUGAAGACUCCUGGUGUUGCUACACCUUCUGGAGGUGCAGCUGGAUGGGAGACCUCUGCCCUGGGCUAGGAGGUCCCUUGGAAGGGCCAGAUAUGCCAGAUGUAUCCAGACUGUGAAUCUGCUGUUCUUGAGACAGGAGCAGUGGCACACAACUGAGAACCAGGUGUCAAGAAGUAUGUGUUACAUAGAUUGCUGGAAGAAUGUUGUGCAAGUCUUUGUGGACAGCUCAAAGGUUUUUUCAGCUGGAGUGCCUUUAUGUCAUCAGUUAUUCAUUGGACCAGUGACAGACUGGCAUGUGAGAAGAAACUGAAGCCCUGGGUUUCUGAGACAGAACAGGGCUGGCUGAAGAGGCAUGCUGUGGCAUUGAAGCAGGUGAGGGAGAACACAACUGUGUCAUCCUGUACCUUGUACAAUGUCCCCUUGCAGAAAUUACUAUGCGAUCACUAGGACUGUACUGAGAGCUGACUUGCUGCCUGCCACUGUGAGUUUAAACCACACUUAACUCCAGUAAGCUGAUCCAAGCAGAGCUAAGGCUUUGCUUGCUUGUUUGCCUGUAAAGUCAAAACUCUCUGAAUCCCCAGGGCACUGUUUUUCCCUCUCACGGUGCUUCCCUUGUGUGAUUGUGUGAGGCACAGAUUCCUCCAUGAGCUGUGUGGGGCUGGUGAGCACCUCUAGAGGCUAGGAGCCGGGGCACUGCUCCCAGCAGUGGAGGCCUGAGCUCGCAGGGCCAGCAGAAGGCAGUGCAAAGAGACCUGGCAGGUGACUGAUUUAGAUCAGAGCGGGCUGUUCCUGCUGGCAGCAGUCACUGACAGUGCAAAAGAGAGCCUUCGCCUCUAAAGACACUAGGCAAGCUCUAACCUUGAGUUUUAAACUGCUCCAGUCUAGGUCCAAGGUCCAUUAAGAAAAAGAUAAAUGGAGACAGACUGCUGUAGCUGCUAGCAGCUCUGGCUCACUUUCCAGUACAUGUCCUGGUUCCCUCUCUGGCACUUUGAGCAGCUUUGAGAAGCCUGGUCUAGUGGAAGGUGUCCCUGUCCAAGGCAGGGGGGUUGGAACGAGAUGAUCUUUGAGGUCCCUUUCAACCCAAGCCAGUCUGUGAUUCUUUCUCUAGCUAUAAAAACGACCCCAAUGCCCUGUCCCCACUGAAUUAGUCACACAGCUUGUUGGCAACUGCAGGGAUUUUUCCAAGGGUCGCUCAUGUUGGAUACUGCGGCCCUGCUGGGUAUUGCUGGCAUGCAGGCAGCCUUUCCAGUCAGCACACCAGCCCCUUCCAUUACAAGGCAUGCUGCGAAUAUUCAUGUGCAAAACCUCACCCUCUCUCAGCCUAACAACUCCUUGAGGCCUUGAAUCUCACCGGAGCUAUCUCCCUCGUUCUAUAUGAGGCCUCAUCUUUCCAAACGUUGGGUUCCUGACGGGAUGGGGGAGAUUGGCUGGUGUUCAUGAGAGCCGACAGGAGGCGAAACGACCCAUUUGGGAAGCCGCCUCUCCUCUGACGGCCCCGGAGUGUAGAUGAGGCAAAACCAGUGCUGCGGAGGCAGAGGCAGGAAAUGACACACGGUGUUUUGUGCUGGGAGCCACACCAGCAGCUUAAAAUGCCCUAUGUUUUUUAUUUUCCCUCCACAGUAGAGGGAAAUAAGUGCAAGAAUAACCCAGGAGGAGGCAGAUCCUGGAAAAAGUCUCCAACUUCCGAUGCCCGUGCGGGAAACCACCCUUCUUCCCCCCGCUCCCCCUCUUCCGCCUC